GCCUGAACCUCAAAAGAGUGUUUGGAGUGUUGCUUCUCAUCUGGUUCUUCUCUACCAUCACCCUGCUGCCUCUGUUCCUGUUCUCCAGCGUGGUGCCCGUCUUCUCUCAUGAACAGAUAAGGCAGCGCUCAAAACGUCUGCUCCGCACUGGAGCUCCCCAGAGCUAUCCUCAGAUGUGCGCAGUGUCCAAUCAAGACUACAAGCUCUUCCGCACUCUUCCUCAUGCUCAUGCCUGUACCAGCUGAGGCCCAGUUGGCAAAAGCUUUGCUGUGCCAAGGAAGACACACUAAGUCAAAGAGAGAACGAAACGAACAGAGGUUAGUUUUCCAUGUUAUUUCUGGAAAACAUGGGUUUUUCAUCUGUAAGGUGUUGCUGUAUCCUUUGUUUUAUACCGAUUGCAUGUUGCUGUGAACUCUCUAGUUUGAUACAAUUCUAUAUGAACAUUUUGAUGAAAUAAUAAUUCUAUAUACAUCAAUACAUUUGAAGUAAGUAUUUUUAUGGUACUUACAUAAGUUACACUUACUGCUAAAAAGAUCAUGGAGAGAGCUGUGGUCCUGAAUAGCUUGACUAUUGAUGCUAAUC